rnacentral:rRNA from 1 species
CCUACGGGUGGCAGCAGUGAGGAAUAUUGGUCAAUGGGCGUAAGCCUGAACCAGCCAAGUCGCGUGAGGGAUGAAGGUUCUAUGGGUCGUAAACCUCUUUUAUAAGGGAAUAAAGGGCGCGACGUGUCCCGUUGUGUAUGUACCUUAUGAAUAAGCAUCGGCUAACUCCGUGCCAGCAGCCGCGGUAAUACGGAGGAUGCGAGCGUUAUCCGGAUUUAUUGGGUUUAAAGGGUGCGUAGGCGGCCUUUAAAGUCAGCGGUAAAAGCCCGUGGCCCAACCCCGGCAAGCCGUUGGAACUGGGGGGCUAGAGAAUGUUAGAGGUAGGCGGAAUGCGUGGUGUAGCGGUGAAAUGCUUAGAUAUCACGCAGAACCCCGAUUGCGAAGGCAGCGUGCCGAGCCAUGACUGACGCUGAGGCACGAAAGCGUGGGGAUCAAACAGGAUUAGAUACCCGAGUAGUC